rnacentral:tRNA from 1 species
GGAAAGUUGGCUGAGUGGUCGAUAGCGGCGGUCUUGAAAACCGUUGACCUUCACGGGUCCGGGGGUUCGAAUCCCUCACUUUCCGCCA